UGGGGAAUUUUUGGCAAUGGGGGCAACCCUGACCAAGCAACGCCGCGUGGGUGAUGAAGUCUCUUGGGACGUAAAACCCUUUCGACGGGGAAGAAAACCGCAAGGUUUGACGGUACCCGUAGAAGAAGCCCCGGCUAACUCCGUGCCAGCAGCCGCGGUAAUACGGGGGGGGCAAGCGUUGUUCGGAAUUACUGGGCGUAAAGGGCGCGUAGGCGGUUCGUUAAGUCGGAUGUGAAAACUCUGGGCUCAACCCAGAGCCUGCAUCCGAAACUGGCGGGCUAGAGUUCUGGAGGGGGUAGCGGAAUUCCUGGUGUAGCGGUGAAAUGCGUAGAUAUCAGGAGGAACACCGGUGGCGAAGGCGGCUACCUGGACAGAAACUGACGCUGAGGCGCGAAAGCUAGGGGAGCAAACAG
rnacentral:rRNA from 1 species